GGAUGUGAAAGAAAACAUCUGCCAUGAGUGGAAGUUGAAAGUUUUUAUGCAUCACUUGACGCCAAAUUAGAAGUAGACGAAGCUGACAGUGGUCAGGAGUGACGAGCUCGGCAAACCAGUUCAGUGUGCAGGAACAUUACUGCAUUAUGUAGGAGAGGAGCGGGUGAAUAUUUCAUGAGCUGCUGUAACACACGUAACAUAGGUGCAUGCUUACGCACAGCACAUAAAAGCACAUGUACAGACGUGUUAGUGUAGGUAGAGCAAAACGCAACACACACUGAAUCAAAAAAGUAGGACACAUUAACCUGGAAAACCUCUUUUUUUUCGCUCUGAGUGAGCACUCUGCGGGAACUAAAACAAUGUGAACACCGUACUGUUGUGACUGUGUGUAUGUGUUGGCAGCAGCUCCACAUAAGGAAGUCUCUGAGUAAAUAUCAAAGGUUCAUUUCCACACACCUUUCCUCUGCCCCUGUAUGUGUUUACCAUGGAUAUGUGCAGAAAUACCAUCUGACUUCCUCAGAGUGAGUGAGCCUGGCUUUGGAGGGCGUCCAACAAUAAAAAGUGAUCUGCCUCUGUACAGGGUAGACAGUAAGGCUGAGCACUGAUGGGAAAUACCUCAGAUUGCAGGAAGCACUUACGAUGUUCUGAAAUCAGUUUUCUUGGAUAAGCAAUACUCAGUGACGCAGGCUCUUUUAUCACUUCCAUAAUGUGCUGCAUGAUUUGCCGUAAUUUGCUUUCAAUGCUGAAUGAGGUGUAAUCACCAUCUAAUUUUGUGUUAUCAGGAAUGUUUUUUAUGAUGAUCAAGACAUAUUCAACGGCUGCAGUACAACCAUCUAACAUCACAAGUAAGAAAAACAACAGCUUUUGAUUUUAUUAUGAUUUUCAUUUUAGGAUAAAUUUGUGAUUGAGGCAAAUGUGGUAAAGAUGUCCAUCUUUGAUCUUUUUGAGGAUGUCUUGGCAAGACUAUUAUCUCCACCUGAAAGAACAACAAUAAUCUUUGAACUUCAGCAUUCAUUUACAUUUUAUGAAUGUGUUUUUUCGUAUAUAUUCCCUCUGACAUGUAAUGAUCCUGAUGAUGACUUGUUUUGAUUUCAUCAUUUUAUUCUUGAAUAAUAGAAGCUCAGUACAAAGAUCCAAAAUUAAGGGGCUAUUUAUUUACAAUACAUCAUUCAAAUACUCAAACAAAGUAUUUGUUUACUAUAAUACCAAAGAAAAUAUGCUACUUACAUUUUACAACCAUAAUGAAUCAACCUUUUCAACCAGUAAGCCUUUGUCCUGCUAAAGAUCCAUGUUUGAUUCACUCAUAAGCAAGUACUUGGCUCAAGACAAAGUUCCCCAAGACAAUAGUGUACUGAAUGCUAUGGUAUGUUCUGUCGCUUCACCGUAUCGUAUCGUAUCGUGUCGUGUCGUAUUGUAUUGUAUUGUAUUGUAUUGUAUCGAAUCGCGUCAUAUCAUAUUGAAUCGUAUUGUAUCGUAUCGUAUCAUAUUAUAUCGUAUCAUAUUGUAUCUCAUCAUUUUGUAUCAUAUUGUAUUGUAUCGUAUCAUUUCGUUUUGUAUCAUAUUGUAUUGUAUCGUAUCAUAUCGUAUUGUAUCGUAUCAUAUCGUACUGUAUCAUAUAAUUUCGUUUCGUAUCGUACUGUAUCAUAUUUCGUUUUGUAUUGUAUCGUAUUGUAUCAUAUUAUAUCGUAUUGUAUUGUAUCGUAUCGUAUUGUAUCAUUUUGUAUCGUAUUGUAUCGUAUUGUAUCGUAUCGUAUUGUAUCGUAUCGUAUCGUAUUAUAUUGCAUCGUAUCA